GACGAACGCUGGCGGCGUGCUUAACACAUGCAAGUCGAACGGAAAGGCCCUGCUUUUGUGGGGUGCUCGAGUGGCGAACGGGUGAGUAACACGUGAGUAACCUGCCCUUGUCUUUGGGAUAACUUCAGGAAACUGGGGCUAAUACCGGAUAGGAGCUCCUGCUGCAUGGUGGGGGUUGGAAAGUUUCGGCGGUUGGGGAUGGACUCGCGGCUUAUCAGCUUGUUGGUGGGGUAGUGGCUUACCAAGGCUUUGACGGGUAGCCGGCCUGGGAGGGGGACCGGCCACAUUGGGACUGAGAUACGGCCCAGACUCCUACGGGACGCAGCAGUGGGGAAUAUUGCACAAUGGGCGGAAGCCUGAUGCAGCAACGCCGCGUGCGGGAUGACGGCCUUCGGGUUGUAAACCGCUUUCUCCUGUGACGAAGCGUGAGUGACGGUAAUGGGUAAAGAAGCACCGGCUAACUACGUG
rnacentral:rRNA from 1 species